rnacentral:rRNA from 1 species
AACGCGAAAGGCCCCUUAGGGGGCCGAGUAGAGUGGCGCACGGGUGAGUAACACGUAGGUAAUCUACCUCUGGGUGGGGAAUAACGACCGGAAACGGUCGCUAAUACCGCAUAAUGCAGCGGCACCACAUGGUGACAGUUGUUAAAGCGGGGGAUCGUAAGACCUCGCGCCUAGAGAUGAGCCUGCGGCGGAUUAGCUAGUUGGCAGGGUAACGGCCUACCAAGGCGACGAUCCGUAGCCGGCCUGAGAGGGCGGACGGCCACACUGGCACUGACAUACGGGCCAGACUCCUACGGGAGGCAGCAGUCGGGAAUUUUGGGCAAUGGGCGAAAGCCUGACCCAGCAACGCCGCGUGAAGGAUGAAGCUUUUCGGAGUGUAAACUUCAUAAGAAUGGGACGAAUAAGGAGGGGUUAACACCCCCUCUGAUGACGGUACCAUUUGUAAGCUCCGGCUAACUCCGUGCCAGCAGCCGCGGUAAUACGGGGGGAGCAAGCGUUGUUCGGAUUUACUGGGCGUAAAGGGCGCGUAGGCGGCGCAACAAGUCACUUGUGAAAUCUCCGGGCUUAACCCGGAGCGGCCAAGUGAUACUGUCGUGCUAGAGUGCGGAAGGGGCUACUGGAAUUCUCGGUGUAGCGGUGAAAUGCGUAGAUAUCGAGAGGAACACCUGCGGCGAAGGCGGGUAGCUGGGCCGACACUGACGCCGAGGCGCGAAAGCCAGGGGAGCGAACGGGAUUAGAUACCCCGGUAGUCCUGGCCUAAACGAUGGAUGCUUGGUGU